UACGGGGGGGGCAAGCGUUGUUCGGAAUUACUGGGCGUAAAGGGCUCGUAGGUGGCCAACUAAGUCAGACGUGAAAUCCCUCGGCUUAACCGGGGAACUGCCUCUGAUACUGGAUGGCUUGAGUUUGGGAGAGGGAUGCGGAAUUCCAGGUGUAGCGGUGAAAUGCGUAGAUAUCUGGAGGAACACCGGUGGCGAAGGCGGCAUCCUGGACCAACACUGACACUGAGGAGCGAAAGCCAGGGGAGCAAACGGG
rnacentral:rRNA from 1 species